rnacentral:rRNA from 1 species
UAGCUAGUUGGUGAGGUAAAGGCUUACCAAGGCGACGAUCUGUAGCGGGUCUGAGAGGAUGAUCCGCCACACUGGAACUGAGACACGGUCCAGACUCCUACGGGAGGCAGCAGUGGGGAAUUUUGGACGAUGGGGGCAACCCUGAUCCAGCCAUGCCGCGUGAGUGAAGAAGGCCUUCGGGUUGUAAAGCUCUUUCGGCCGAAGAAAUCGCAUGGGCCAAUACCCUGUGUGGAUGACGGUACCGGAAUAAGAAGCACCGGCUAACUACGUGCCAGCAGCCGCGGUAAUACGUAGGGUGCGAGCGUUAAUCGGAAUUACUGGGCGUAAAGCGUGCGCAGGCGGUUUUGUAAGACAGGCGUGAAAUCCCCGGGCUUAACCUAGGAACUGCGUUUGUGACUGCAAGGCUAGAGUACGGCAGAGGGGGGUGGAAUUCCACGUGUAGCAGUAAAAUGCGUAGAGAUGUGGAGGAACACCAAUGGCGAAGGCAGCCCCCUGGGUCGAUACUGACGCUCAUGCACGAAAGCGUGGGUAGCAAACAGGAUUAGAUACCCUGGUAGUCCACGCCCUAAACUAUGUCAACUAGGUGUUGGGUGGGUAAAACCAUUUAGUACCGUAGCUAACGCGUGAAGUUGACCGCCUGGGGAGUACGGCCGCAAGGUUAAAACUCAAAGGAAUUGACGGGGACCCGCACAAGCGGUGGAUGAUGUGGAUUAAUUCGAUGCAACGCGAAAAACCUUACCUACCCUUGACAUGCCAGGAACUUGCCAGAGAUGGCUUGGUGCCCGAAAGGGAGCCUGGACACAGGUGCUGCAUGGCUGUCGUCAGCUCGUGUCGUGAGAUGUUGGGUUAAGUCCCGCAACGAGCGCAACCCUUGUCGUUAAUUGCCAUCAUUUAGUUGGGCACUUUAACGAGACUGCCGGUGACAAACCGGAGGAAGGUGGGGAUGACGUCAAGUCCUCAUGGCCCUUAUGGGUAGGGCUUCACACGUCAUACAAUGGUCGGUACAAAGGGUUGCCAAGCCGCGAGGCGGAGCCAAUCCCAGAAAGCCGAUCGUAUUCCGGAUUGCAGGCUGCAACUCGCCUGCAUGAAGUCGGAAUCGCUAGUAAUCGUGGAUCAGCAUGUCACGGUGAAUACGUUCCCGGGUCUUGUACACACCGCCCGUCACACCAUGGGAGCGGGUUCCGCCAGAAGUAGGUAGCCUAACCGCAAGGGGGGCGCUUACCACGGCGGGGUUCGUGACUGGGGUGAAGUCGUAACAAGGUAGCCGUAGGGGAACCUGCGGCUG